AGGUUUGGAACCACUGCUGUAGACUAAAAUUGGAAGGACAGAGAAAAGAUUACCAUGGCCUCUAUGCAAGGGUGACACACACACACGUGUACAGUGUUCAUCGUCU
rnacentral:snRNA from 11 species